rnacentral:lncRNA from 1 species
GUUGAACAAUAGAAUAAAAAAAUACAAGUGAAAGAGGAAGAAAUGAUACCAAUUGAAAUUUUAGCAGCAACAAUGGGGAGUUGAGGGAGGAAAAAUGAUAGAAAAUGGGGAAGAAAAGCAAAAGAAAAUAAUGGAGCAAAAAGAAAAAAGGAAAAAAGCUAUGCCAAAUGACCGAAAUUGGGAGAAAGAGAAGUGAGAGCCAAAAUUAUCAGUCCACCAAAUCGGGAUAACUCCACAAUCCUAUAUUCUCCUCCUAAAAUUACUCCAACACUCCAAUCCCAUAUUUUCCUCCUAAAAUCACUCCAACAUUCCCC